rnacentral:lncRNA from 1 species
UCCUGGCUGCUCCAGUGACCUCCAAUCAGGGCAGCUCUGUGCCUUUCCUCACCCCUCUUCACCGGAGCUCAGAGCUGCCCAGUGCAGGCAUUUUGGUUGCAGGUUCCCUGCAUGGGGUUCAAGGCACACGAGCAAGCAUGACUUGGAUUCUCCUCAGCCUUUGCACUCUGCUCCUGGCUGCUGCUCUGGGCCUGGGCCCAGCCCCCUGGAGCCCAAGCUCUCUGAGAAGUGUGCGACCUGGCUGAGUUUGUUCACGAUUGUCCUCUGACGGAGCCUGGUUUCAUUUUCCUCAGCACGCCCUGUUUCCCUGUCCACACUGAGCUGGGUUUCACAUUCCACCGGCACUCCAGGCUUCUAGGACACCUGGUCUAUGACGAGUGGCACCUCCUCCUCCACUGGGGUGGACUGGAAUCCUCACCUGUGAAUGACACUGGAGUCCGGCGUGAGUCAUGCUGUCCGAGCCAUGGCUUGGUGCAGGAGCCUGCACAUGAGGUGGCCUGCCGUUCUGCCUUCUGCCCCCUCCAGGGCACCACAGGCCCCAGAGAGAUUCGAGGAGGAGGGGCUCUGGGUGCCAGAGGAGGAGGAGGGGCAGGGAGGAGGUGCUGCCUGGAGCAGAAGUGGAGGACCCUCUGCCAGUGCAGCGCCCACCACUGGCUCCUACAGGAGGGAGGCUCGGGUGCAAGGUUUCGUCCUGAGCCUCUGGGAGUGGUGACAAGUGGCCCUGCACUUACGGGAACAGACUCAGCCUGGACUGGCUCCCGACCGUUUCCUUUCCCCAGUUCUUGGUGCACACCCACCCAGGACACAGGGACGCUGCCUCGGCACCAGGAGAAAACCGAUGCCUGGUGGGAUGGAGAAGGCACAUCGGAUGGCAGCUCCACCAGGUGUGAGCUGUGUGAUCCAUCCAGAGAAGCCUCUGAGCCUCAGUUGUUUCAAGGACAAAUCAAGCUUUUCCAGAGCAUUCCCCACAGGUAUCGCCAGCUAUCCCAUUGCAGGACAUGAUACCUGACACCUACAACUUAAAGGAGAAGUUAAAUUUGGCUCACAUUUUAAGGCAAUUGAGUCCAUGGGCAGCUGGCUCCAAGGCAGGAACAUCAUGGCAAAAGGGAAGGGAGGAGCAAAGAUGCUUAGUUAGUAGCCGGAACUGGAGAACUGUGCCAGCCAGGCAUUGGGCCAGUAUAGCAGCCUGACUCACAUCUCUGUGACACACCCAGACACACCCGGAAGUGCACUCCACCAAUCCCCUGGGGGACCCCAAAGCCAGUCGGGUCCACACUGCACCCGAACUGUCACACCCAACCCCACUAAUUGCCAAGAGUAGACACCAGUUUCAUAAUUCUCCCUCACAAAUUUAACCACCUGUGCACAAGAAACUCAACAAUCCCUUCCCCAAAGACUCAAUGGUUCUGGCAUUUUUCCAAAGUCCAAGUAAGAAUUUCUUCUGAGACUCAAAUCAAACUCUUAGCUAUGAAACUUUGUAAAAUUGAAAAAUAAGUUGCAUAUUCCCAAGGUACAAUGGCACAGGGUAAACAUUCCUAUUCCAAAAUGAAGGAAUAGAGGGAUAGAAAAGAAUAGGAUCAAAGUAAGACAGCAAACCUUAUGUCCCGAAGCUGCCUGUCUGGCAUCUGUGAGGUGAGUGUUUGAGAGGCCUCCUUCAGGUGCAGCCCACCUGGUCUCCCUUGGGCUGUUCUGCUUGAGGCCUGCAGCUCUCUUCAGCAGGUACUCCUGGCAUCUCUGCCUUCCUGGGUUCUCCACUGCACCUUUGGCUUCAAAGUGUCACACCCUGCCCUAGGGACUCUUUGUCUGACUUCCUAGGCCUUUAAAAAAUCUGGGUGGCAGCCUCUCUGACCCCAUAAUUCUUACAUUCUGCAGGCCUGAAAAACCAGCACCGUGCGGGUGAUGCCAGAGCCUGAGGCCAGCUUGACCAGUAGCCAGGCCCCUGCCAGAAUGGCUGAACUUUGGGGAAUGCUUCCUUAGGUAGCUCAGAAUGAGAAGGGCACACUGGGGCUCUCCUCUCAAAACAAAAUAUUUUAAAAGAGCUUACCCUUUUAUACCUAUGAGCAUGUGGCAGGUGGGGUCUGGCCAUUUCCUCAGGUGCCCUCAAGACAUCAUUCUUAUUGUUCUGAUGCAAAGUACUCAGCUUAUUUUUAGUGAUAUUCUCUUCAGCAACUAUAGUUACUUUCCCCCCGAUUUACAUGAUUCCUUUUGACCCUAAAAUUAAAAAUUUCUGCUCUGCCUUUCCUUUUUUUUUUUUUUGGUACCAGGGAUCAAACUUGGGUCCUUGCUCUUGCGAGGCAGGCAGUGGAACCACUGAGCUAAAUCCCCAGCCCUAUGCCUUUUGCUCUUAAUUCUCAUUAUAAAUCUGGUUAAAAGCAGCAAGCAGUAUCCAUGUCACAACCUGAAUGUUAGGCAGUUAUAAAAUUUCCUCUAUCAUAUAAAUUAGUUCCUCAUCCUGAAGACCCUAAAGAUAUGGGCAAAAUGUAGACAAAAUUUCCACCAGAGCAUAUCGUAAUACACAUAACCUCUAAUCUAACUACCACUGGAGUCCUUGUUCCCAUCUGAAAACUCUCUUAACCUGGCCUUUAUUUUUCACAUUCCUAUUAGUAUUCUAGUCUUUUGAGUUCCUACCAAAAUUACCCAUCAAGCUCUAUUUACAGCAUUCUAGGGUUUCUCUACCUCACAUCUCCAAAUCAUUCCAAAUUCCUCCCACAAACCAGUUCCAAAGGCUUCUAAACUACACGGUUGGGUAUAGUCGCAGCAAUGACCCCAUUUCUUUGGUAUAAAAAUCUGUUUCAGUUAGCUUUCCCGUUGCUGGGACACAAUACUCAACACUCACAAUUUAAAGGAGGAGGGGUUUAAUUUAGCUCACAUUUUAAGGCGAUUCAGUCCAUGGUCAGCUAGCUCCAAGGCAGGGUCCUCAUGGUGGAAGGGUGUGGAGGGGCAGAGCUAUAUGGUGGUCAGGGAGUAGAGCAGGGGAACAGUGCCAGCCAGGAAGUGGGCUACGGACAGAUAGAGUACGCAGGUCACACCUCCACGACCCACUUGAACACUCCCAGAAGAAGCUCUCUCAACCUCCGGGGAGAUCCCGAAGCCAAACAAGUUGGCACUACACCCCAGUCACCACACCACAGACGCUGCCCUCCGGUCACGGUUUGUCUAAUAUUGUGCAGUAUUUCACUUUAAAAAAAAUUCUUCUCCCUCCAGCACACUGAGGUCAGGACUGUAUAUUAUCUACUGAUGCAGCCUGGAUCCCAAGGCCAGUGCCAGCACACAGUAGGCCCCCAGAGUGUUCACUGAGUGGAAAUCUAGCAGGACAAUGCCUGGGUGAAGCCCCCAGUAGCAGCCUACAAUGCUCCAGGCUUUGACCCAGACAGAGGUCAGGACCGGCUGCGCUGAUCUGCAGCCAGGUGCUCCAGGCUGAAACUCCUCUGCCUGGCUCCCCCGAGGGGCUCGACAUGGUGUGGACCUGUCCUUUAGAAGUGCUGGUUGGACUCGGCCCACCAUGCCCAGGCACUGCCCGUGAGAGCAUCACUCAGAGUGGGCAGGGUUGAGCUGCCUUCGAAGACCAGGCUGCAGACGUGAGUCACUAAGCAUCCUGACUGGUUUUCCCCUUGAUUUCCACUGCAGAUGCCUGGUCUUUUCCACUUCCUCUGAGCUACCCGAUUAAAUCCCCAGACCUCCUCACUCAAGAAGGUGGCAGUGGGAGGAAGUGUCAACUACUCAGCUCCUACUUCGGAGUCUCUCAUUUUCUCAUGCACCAUCCAGUUAAAAUCCUAUUAGAUCUGAAGUAAUGUUUAAGAAAAACAUUAAUUUUUUCUGGGUCUUAUUUGUCUGUCCACAUCUUUAUCCCCUGUGACUGGUUAGAAGGACUCAGGGAGGUUCUUUGUCUCUUAAACCACCGUGGUGUGUGCUUGUGCAUGUGUGUGCACAUGGAUUUAAGGGUGAUAAACAGGAGUGACUUGGGGCUCAGCAUAUGUAAGGACCAAGUGACUAUAUGAGGUUGUGGGUAUUUUUUUAAAGCCCGAUUUCAGUUGGUUCCCAUGUCCAGGUGACACUGGUUUGCACAGCUCUGUUAUUCAGGGCACAUGGGGAAACUGGGCUAAGAAAUGAAUCUGCAGCCUGGAACGAGCCCAGUAAAUCUCAGUAAGAACACCUCCCCUGACAGCCCCAUCAGGACCCUCACCCUGUGGCUUCCCUGCCCCAGUGCUCUAAGACGUUGUUGUGGGUCUUAGGGAGCCUGAUUGCACAGGGAAGUGCUUUCACAGAAACCUGUCCACACAAAGCCUCCCUUUAGGGGGACCCCAGCUCCCAGACGCCCAAGCUCACACCAGCCGAGGCUCCUAAAUCAGGGGGUGAAAACUGAUGGUGAGGAAGCACAGCAGACAUUAACACCAGCAAACGUUCAGCCUCACUGGCUAUCAAAAGAAAACACAGCCUUUUCACUUUAUCUCUAACACCUGGGGAGACAGAGUGGCCGGUGUGGCUGGUGUUAUCCAACGCCCCAUGGACUGUGGAGUGGGGCAAGUUAGAAAAACACUCUUGCUUGGCCAUUCAGCANNNNNNNNNNNNNNNNNNNNNNNCAGCAGGACACAUUCAGAACCAUGAGCUCUUCAUACCCGACAGCGCUGCAUUUCUCUUCAUCAGUGCGGAAAAUGAGGAAAUAACUCAGCAGAAAAGGAGAAAUUCCUGACCUGCCUGAAAGUCAGCCAGCCCGCAUGUCCUACAGUGUAACAUCCUGGUGUGCAGAUGCUUCUGUUCACAGACAGUGGGCUCACACACACAAGCGUUCAGCAAAUUCUGCUUCUGUUCAUGAAUUCUGCAUCAGGAGACAAACACGACUGUGGCCGUCUUCCGAAGAAUCUUAGAAGGAUUUCAGACCGUGAACCGAAGUACCACUGUAGUAUGGAAAGAUGGGAAUGCCUUUCUGCAAUGGAAAUCGUUAAGGAAGUUUACUCAAUUAUCACAUGGCCACUCACUGAGGUAUUACAUGGUUAUUAAAAAGUGAUUCUGAAGAUCACAGAAACAAAAAUGUGUCUGACAUAAUGUUAAGAUAAAUGAGGUCACAAAGCU